UGGGGAAUCUUCCGCAAUGGACGAAAGUCUGACGGAGCAACGCCGCGUGAGUGAUGACGGUCUUCGGAUUGUAAAGCUCUGUUAAUCGGGACGAAUGGUUUGUGUGCAAAUAGUGCAUAGACAUGACGGUACCGGAAUAGAAAGCCACGGCUAACUACGUGCCAGCAGCCGCGGUAAUACGUAGGUGGCAAGCGUUGUCCGGAAUUAUUGGGCGUAAAGCGCGCGCAGGCGGACUAGCCAGUCAGUCUUAAAAGUUCGGGGCUUAACCCCGUGAUGGGAUUGAAACUACUAGUCUAGAGUAUCGGAGAGGAAAGUGGAAUUCCUAGUGUAGCGGUGAAAUGAGUAGAUAUUAGGAAGAACACCAGUGGCGAAGGCGACUUUCUGGACGAACACUGACGCUGAGGCGCGAAAGCCAGGGGAGCGAACGGG
rnacentral:rRNA from 1 species